UAGCUCAGUCAGUUGAGCGUAGCGCUAACAACGCUAAGGUCGCAGGUUCGAUUCCCGU
rnacentral:tRNA from 1 species